rnacentral:rRNA from 1 species
UACGAAGGGGGCUAGCGUUGCUCGGAAUCACUGGGCGUAAAGGGCGCGUAGGCGGCCAUUCAAGUCAGAGGUGAAAGCCCAAGGCUCAACCUUGGAACUGCCUUUGAUACUGUUUGGCUUGAGACCGGUAGAGGUAAGUGGAACUGCGAGUGUAGAGGUGAAAUUCGUAGAUAUUCGCAAGAACACCAGUGGCGAAGGCGGCUUACUGGACCGGUUCUGACGCUGAGGCGCGAAAGCGUGGGGAG